GACGAACGCUGGCGGCGUGCCUAAUACAUGCAAGUAGAGCGCAGUUCCGAACGGGUGAGUAACGCGUAGGUAACCUGCCUCAUAGCGGGGGACAACUAUUGGGAACGAUAGCUAAUACCGCAAACUGUGAGUUGGACUUUAGUUGUAUUAGCUAGUUGGGGAGGUAAAGGCUUACCAAGGCGACGAUACAUACCCGACCUGGUAGGGAGAUGGACCAAAGUGAGACUGAGACAAGGCCCAGACUCCUACAGGAGGCAGCAGUAGGGAAACUGCGGAAAUGGACGGAAGUCUGACCGAGCAACGCCGCGUUAGUGAAGAAGGUUUUCGGAUCGAAAAGCUCUGUUGUUAGAGAAGCGGUAACUAACCAGAAAGGGACGGCUAACUACGUGCCAGCAGCCGCGGUAAUAC
rnacentral:rRNA from 1 species